UCCGGCGUGGUGUAGCGGCAACACGGCUGACUUUGGAUCAGCAAUCCGAGGUUCGAUCCCUCGCGCCGGAGC
rnacentral:tRNA from 1 species